rnacentral:rRNA from 1 species
GUAGGUGGCAAGCGUUGUCCGGAAUUAUUGGGCGUAAAGCGCGCGCAGGCGGUCCUUUAAGUCUGAUGUGAAAGCCCACGGGCUCAACCGUGGAGGGUCAUUGGAAACUGGGGGACUUGAGUACAGAAGAGGAAAGCGGAAUUCCAAGUGUAGCGGUGAAAUGCGUAGAGAUUUGGAGGAACACCAGUGGCGAAGGCGGCUUUCUGGUCUGUAGCUGACGCUGAGGCGCGAAAGCGUGGGGAGCAAACAGGAUUAGAUACCCUGGUAGUCCACGCCGUAAACGAUGAGUGCUAAGUGUUAGGGGGUUUCCGCCCCUUAGUGCUGCAGCUAACGCAUUAAGCACUCCGCCUGGGGAGUACGGCCGCAAAGGCUG